rnacentral:rRNA from 1 species
AUUGAACGCUGGCGGCAUGCUUUACACAUGCAAGUCGAACGGUAACAGGCCGCAAGGUGCUGACGAGUGGCGAGCGGGUGAGUAAUGCAUCGGAACGUGCCCAGUCGUGGGGGAUAACGCAGCGAAAGCUGUGCUAAUACCGCAUACGAUCUAUGGAUGAAAGCGGGGGACCGUAAGGCCUCGCGCGAUUGGAGCGGCCGAUGUCAGAUUAGGUAGUUGGUGGGGUAAAGGCCCACCAAGCCAACGAUCUGUAGCUGGUCUGAGAGGACGACCAGCCCCACUGGGACUGAGACACGGCCCAGACUCCUACGGGAGGCAGCAGUGGGGAAUUUUGGACAAUGGGCGCAAGCCUGAUCCAGCAAUGCCGCGUGCAGGAAGAAGGCCUUCGGGUUGUAAACUGCUUUUGUACGGAACGAAACGGUCUGGGUUAAUACCCUGGGCUAAUGACGGUACCGUAAGAAUAAGCACCGGCUAACUACGUGCCAGCAGCCGCGGUAAUAC